GCGGGGCGGCCUCGGUCCGGCUCUGGAGAGGCUAUAAAAGGAACUGCUGGAGGCGCAGCUCGGUCUUUUGCGUCUGGACUUGGGAGGCGCUGCUCCGGUGGAAGGAACAAUGGCUCUCGGUGGUGUAAUGAAGCUGCUCUCUGAAGAUGAUGAGCUGCAAAGGAAAACUCCAACAAAACACGUGAGAGAGUAUUUGCUGGGAAAUUACUUGGUCGAAACCUGACAGUCUUAACACAGCUUCCUGGGGAUUGAUCACAAUGGACCUAUAGAUGUCACUGACUAGCAACCUCAUUUUAAAUGUGGUGGGGUCGCUGUCUGCCCAUGGAAAGAGGCCAGUUUGUUGGAACCUUCCGAAGGUGUAACCCAUCCCCGGCUAAUGCCACGAGAUUUACUUGUAUGAAAAACUGAUGAAGAACAGCUCCUUUUACUGAUAUUGAAAGAAAACCUACAAAUCAAGACAACAUAUUGAUUUUUUUUUUUAAUUUUUGUAAACAGAUUAUAAAGCAGCAUCUAAUCUAAUGUAUCCAUAAGAAGCAAUUCCUGGGUGGCUCAGUCGGUUAAUUGUCUGCCUUCAGCUCAGGUCAUGAUCCCAAGGCCCUGGGAUCAAGUCCAUCAGGCUCCAUGCUCCAAGUGGAGUCUGCUUCUCCCGCUCGCUCCUCCCCCUGCUUGUUCUUUGUCAAAUAAAGUCUUUUCAAAGUAAAUGAUUGUAAUUAAA